rnacentral:lncRNA from 1 species
AGGAUAUGUACAAAUUUUUUCUUCUUUUUUAUAUUAUGAAAAAUUUUUUGCUUCUUUUUUAUAUAAUCUUCUCGUUAAAUAACGCCGACGAGCGGCAUGUCAUGGUUAGGCUAUAUAAUACUAGAAGUUAGAAAGAUAAUUACUAUUUAACCAUGCUCUCAUAAACAGUAAUUAUUUAUUUUUUGAUGACUCCCCUCAGAUUAGUCAAGGUUGCCGCUACCAGCCAAUUACAUUUUCGAAUAAUUUAAUCUGCCUAUCUGAUAUGAAAAAAUAAUUUAAUCUACCAGGCUGAACUUUUUUUACCAUAAACGAGAACCAGAAGCUUCUUCAAACUUGUCUUCUCCGUGUUGUUCCUAUUUCCAAGUCAAAAGCCGAAAGCGAGAAUCGAAUUCUGAUGGCCGAGGCUUGGCGACCCUUGGAGAUAGGGUUCGAGUUCUAUCUUUGAAGCGAAAGAAUGAUUGACCUUUUUGUCCGCGAUAUCAGCCGUUGGAUCGCGUAUUACACGGCUCGCAAAACAUUCCAAUCUCACCUUGCCUCCACCUGCACAGAUCUCGAAGCGGCUAUUACACGAUCCAACGGUUGGCGGCGCGAAAGAGGGUGAAUCAAAGGUGCAGCCCGAGCCCGUUGGAGAUCGCGGGGGAAUUCCAUCCGACCGACGCCAUUUGCGUGGGGUCCACGCGGAGGAGGUGCCUUCCCACGUAGCGUUCGGCGUGAGCCACCCACUGGAGCAAGACAAAGGGGAAUAUGUGGGACCCACAGCCCUUUUUGUCGCUGCUUGAGGUUGUGGGGCCCCAGUUCUCUCUUUUAUUUUUUCUUUUCUACAAGGCAGAGCUUUUUGUUUCUAACGUAUACAGCCAUGGGCCCGGCGAGUCACCAAAAAAAAAAAAAAAAAAAAGCAAUAACAAAAAGGAGUGGAGACCACCAUUUCUCCUCUAAUAUCAAAAUCUAACCUAAUUGUCAUGGUUGUAUCAAGUUAAACAAGCAUGAACUACGACCAUUUACUUAAUCUAAUCCAAACUGGGAGCAUCCAAAAGUUUUUAGGUUGGCAACUAACGCCAUUAACUUCUCAAUCAUCCGUUUGUUAUCUAUUUAUAUAUGGACCGUAUAUAGUUUUAUAUGAAUUAGUAUAUUGAGGGCCGGUGAGGGCAGAGGUACCCUCUACAAUAUUCAUGCAUAAUUAAAUGUCCAUCCGUUUAUGCUUUUUGGACUCAAUAGCACCCAUUUUUAUUUUUAUUUUUAUUUUUUAUACAACAGUAACUCACCCCAGACAUAUAUGAGUGCAUCCAAAAAGGUCAAAAAAAAAAGUUGACGGAAAAAAAGAAGAAACAAAUUCGAAACUCUUUCGGAGGAACUUUCCUGAAUGAUGUACAGCAUAAGAGGCAACUCAGUCAGCAGCACUAUUCGCUUUCCGAUAAACAUAAGUAGCCCAAAAGGGAACAACCCCCUCCCCCCUCCCAUGAGCCAAUAGAUAUGCCGAAGUAGCGGGUGCCGAUCAACAUAGCUGUGCUGGCCCUGAAUUCAGUUGAUCACCGUAGCCGAGUCACUUUUAACAUAUAUAAUGUCCGCUCCCUACUCCCAGAACUAACUUGUCAUGGAUAAUGCUUUUAUUUUGGCUCUCAACUCUGCUCCGAUGAUAGGCUCAUUGAAGAUAGUAACCACUCUUGUGCAGGGGUUUUAUUAGAGGGGAAAAUCUGGAAAUAUUUUCAUUUUAUCUUUAGGUUUUUAUGGAAAAACUUUGCAUUACCCUAUCAAUAUUCUAUUGGAUACCUAAUCUGAUAGUCUGGGCAAAGUCUGGGUAUGGCAGAAGAGUUGUUAAAGAAACAACUCUAAUAAAACCAAACAGGGCCCUUUCAUAAGGUUUCAUCAUCCAAACAGGUCCAUUACACUUUGGUGAUGGUUAGCAAAGUUAAAGUGGAGUUCGGAGAUGAUGGGUGGGAACCAUCUGCACACUUUGGUGAUUGGUCCGAGCCCUUUUCGCUUGUUGAUGAGCAUAGUUGAGGAGGCCCACAUAGAGGAGUUUUGGACAUUACCCUGCUGAUAGAAUUAUGAGGAAGUAAUGUGAUACUAGGCAUGCAUUAAAGAAGUGAAACCGAGAGGAAGUGAGUGAUAUCUUUCUCCAAACGAAGGUGUUGGAACAAAUCAUUCAUAUACUGCAGCAGAGAGAGAUCGAUGAGGUUGGAUUGAUUGAUUUAGAUUUGCAGAUUCUUCGUGCCUUUGUAUCCAACCAUCACAAUCUUUUUAGGCAAUAAGAGGAGUUUUGGAGGCAAAUAUCACAUGUAUAAUGACCUGGGGAGGGAGAUCGUAACACCAAUUUAUUUUUUCAUAAAGCCACUCAUAAAUUCUAUGAUGAAUUAAGAUGAGUCAUUAUUAGAGGAUUUUCCUAGAAUUCACAAAGUCCUUCUUCACUGCUUCAGGGAGAGAUGGUGUCCUAGUUCAGAAUGCUUGAACCCGGACUUGCCACAAGUAAUUCUAUUGGAUGAGGUGAGGAUCAAGUGUUUCUAGGGUCAGAGAUAACUAAAGCUGAAAUUGUGAGCAAACCGCAAUCCAUGGCCUCAGAAAAAACUCCUGGUCCAGAUAGUUUUCCUUGAACGAACUUAGUUUGAGAACUCCAAGCUUCUUUAAUAUGAGAGUUGAUGCAGUUAAGGCAGUGUCUCACUUUUCAGGAUUGGAGUAAUGCUUGAUUCUUCAAAGUUCACCUACACUAAUUCAGUCACUACAGUUGAUACCACAACUAAACCUUCACACUUUUGACCCAUUAGUCUUUUCUCUACCCUCUGGAAAUCGUUGGCCAAAUUUCUUAACAAUAGACUAAAGGUUUCCAUAGGAACAAGCCGCCUUUCUUUUGGUUGGAAUAUCACUGAUAGCUUGAUAUUGGAACAAGAGUCUAUACACACUUUUCAUCGUGCUCGAGGAAACUUCGCUAUAGUAGGGGUGAAAUAGAUAUGGAAAGAGACUAUAACAGAGCCAGCUGAGGUUAAUUGGAAGCAAUUCUCAAGCAUUUUUCAGUUUCCAGAUAAAUGAAUGAGUUGGAUUCGUGGAUGUACUCUUAAUCCCUCAUUUUACUAUGCCUGUGAAUUGCUCCUCUGCAUCAAACUCCAUCAUGGGCUUAAGACACGGUUGUCCCCCUGUCGACUGACUUAUUCGCUCUAUGCUCUGAGAUGCUAACCAGAUCACUAAAUCUUGAGAUGAAUAGAAGUAAUCUUUGUUUUGACAUUUAUUAUACGUGGAUGACUGUCUCUUGCUAUCUCUGGCCUGUGUUACAGAUUGUAGACUGUUGUGAUAACAAUCUGUGUAUCGAUUCACUUUGAGUCUUGGGACUGAUCAUCAUACAGCUAAACUCGUGCUGAGCAAUCAGAAACACUGAUUGAUUGGGUCGAUAUCUUGGUGGUCCACUAUCAGGACAGAUCCCCAAGCAUAACUUACAUCCUGUAAUGGAUAGUAUCAUUGGUCCGCCUUGCAGCUAAAAAAUGGAGAUUUCUCUUAUCCUUUAAGUUGCAUACUAUUCCUUGGGUUUCUAUCUGCAAGCUUAAACAAUUUGGCAGGCUUGGUAUAGCUGAUUUGAGGAAAUGAUGGAUGGCACUACUAAACUUGCAGGCAAGAUAUACAACUUCAAUCUCUCCUAGCCAGGCUACUUCAUGCUAAGUACAACUUUUCGGGUCAUUGACUAUUAUAUUCUCCUACUAGAAAUGCCUCUAUGACUUAGAAAGCAAUUUGUAGACAUAAGAAAUGGAAAUCAUCUCAACCUUGAUUCAAAAAAGCACCCCUACCUAGAAACUAUGCUUAUUGCUGCUAACUUGGAUCAAUUUCUAAACUAUCCAACAGCUAGUUGCUUUAUAACUGAUGGCUGUUGAAACUUGCAUCUAUUUAACCUCUGUUUCUACAAUUCAUCAAUUGGAAGGUGAUCUCUACAACUUUUGUGAAUGGUGGAGACCAAGGCCUUUUGUGAUAGGGAGAAAACUUAAAACGCAAAAUAAAAGUCAACGAGGUGUAUAAUGGAACGUUGAUGAGAGAAGGUGGUGCAAAGGAGAUCCAUGACAAAGUUAGCUGUUUCAUCUGGAAGGUUAUUCAGCAUGGUAUUACUACUGAGGACUUGCUACAUAGUAGAUGCAUGGGUUUUGGUACUUCCUCUAGGUGUCAUAUGGAAUUGAGACUAUUAGUGAUUUAUUUUUUCUUGUCCCAAAGUUAUUGAUAUAAAGGUCUAGAAACCAGGCUCUGCUGUAAACACAAAGUUGUAGCAGAAUAAGUCUCAACAAAAACUUGGGAUUCAGAGAUAGUUCUGAAUUUAUGCAAGGGAAUGCAAAAAAUUGUGCAAACUGCUGGAAUGAGACGACCUAAGUUUUACAAUGAUGGAAUACAUGCACCAACAAUACCUGUUGGAGAUGAAGUAGGCCAAAAACAACCAUAACCAGCCAAGAAUUAUAGAGAAAACAAAGCAAGUGACAUAAUAGAAAUGUCAUCGAUAUAUCACUGAGCACAUGAAAGGCACUACCACACAACAAUAAGAGAAGAAUUCACUAUAAUAAUCAUAUAAUAAAAGCAUAAUCUUCCAAAACUUUGCCCUACAUUUUGGGGUAUUACAAUAGAUUGAGGCAUACAAGAUUACCUCCCUUUCUUGCCCUUAUCCUAGAGAGAUUCCUCUCCAAGCUUCUCUAGACUUAAGAAUGGAACUCCUUGCUCUGAUCUCUAAGUCUUCUCCUGGCUUGGCUACAAGAAUUCUUCUAGCUUUUUCUCUGGCAAAAACCCAGAGGAACCCCCCAAUCUCUUCCUGUCUUCUUUUGCUUCUUCCUCAUGGGCCGAACCCAUGGCACAAAAUAGGCCCAAUACAGUGUGGGCCUUGUGGAACAUAAUAGGCCACUAUGAACUUAAAAGUCCCCUCAAAGGGUUGGACCCUGUGGCAUAGACCCACCACACAAUUUUAAUAAGACUUGCACUGAUGGUCUCCAGGAAUGCCCUGCACAAAGCUCCUUGUAUUUACUGGGAACCCUCAGAACUUGACUGCAUUAAUAUUAAUUUUGAUGGCCCAUGUAAAGUUGAUGAUCAAUGUCGAUGGUUUGUGAUCUGAAAUGUGGAGGAGACAAUUCUUAGGUGGAUGAUUCUUGAUUCUAUGUGUUGAAUGUAAUAAGAAUCUUGUUAGGGGGGAAUUCACUUACAUCAGUAUCUUGGAUACGAUCUUCUUCUAAUUGUCAUCCCAUUCUUCAGAGCCUUGAAAGAUAGAUUGCUCCUUUUUUUUCUUGUGGAUAACUCGUAUUUUGCCAAGCAAACUAGCCUAUGAACUUCAUGGUGAACUGGUUUCAGGCUCAAUUGUUGCAAAUUUUUGGUUCUCUAAUUUUACUUUUGGUUUUAUGCUCUUAAGAAUGGCUAGCAAUCUAGACUUUGCUUAUGUUCUUUUGUAUUCUGUUGGAGAGUUUUUUUCCUAGUAUCAAUCUAUCUGUCUAUUCUAUAUAUAUAUAUAUAUAUAUAUAUAGAGAGAGAGAGAGAGAGAGAGAGAGAGAGAGAGAGAGNNNNNNNNNNNNNNNNNNNNUAUAUAUAUAUAUAUAUAUAUAGUAGUAGAGAGAGAGAGAGAGAGAGAGAGAGAUCGCUUUAUUGUUAUUUGUUUUUUUUUUGGUACUACUUUAUUGUUAUUUGUUAAAGACCUUUAAUAUAAACUAGAAAAUCAAGGAUUGUGAAAUGUGGCAUUGAGAGUGGCCUAUGAACAAAAUGAUGGUGAGUUUACAGAUUGUGGAAAACUAUUUUUUUAAUUCACCUUUUGUCUUGCAUUUUAUAUUGUUUUUAGUUUUUGUUUACUUUUAUCUAGGUCAACUUUGAGAAUGAAUUUAGCAUGCCAUUUUUUCAAACAUUUUGCAAUAUGUAAGAUUUUUUGAUCGUGGCAAUUUCUUCUCCUAGUCUUUUCACCUUGCAUAUCAACAAAUACUUUAUAACUCCAUUCAAAUAGGCCUUAAAAAUAAAAUUUAUUGAGUAAUGUUCGAUAUAAUUGCUUAUGACAACCAAUCCGCAAAGUACAUUGUGAUAGUUUCAAAAGCAACUUUCUAAUAAAAGUCAUUAAUAUUUUCUUAUGAUUUCAUCAGUCAAUUACAUGAAUGUAAUGCUUUUCAAGUUGUUAACAUAUAAAUCUACAACAUGGAUUGAAAGCAGUGCAAAAAGAGACAAGACUAUAACAUUUGAUAGUUUAUUUUGAGAUUAGUAGAGAGGGGACAUUGUCUAUUAAGAAAAUGAAUGUAAGGAAUGUAUAUUUGGUGGGCCAAAAUAGACCAAUGUCAAUUGUUAUUGCUCCUUUUAGAUUGGAUAGCUUUGAUGCUCUCUUCUCGAUUUGAUAUUAUUCCCUCUAAUUAGUGGCUAAAGGGAAAGAUAGUUAGAUCUCACAAAUAUCAUAUCAAUUUGAUAUCCUUAAACCUUUUCAUUUUUUAGAAAAUGGUGAUAGAUUCUUACUAUUUAUGGGUGAUUUUAAUUGGUGGGGAUUGAGAUGUCCAAAAAUAUGAAUUUAAACAGAGAUACUUAGGCUAUGAAGGGAUGGGAGCUUGAUUUAAGUUUGUUUUGAUAGUUUCAAAAAUCGCCUAAAUUAGAUCAAAAUUAAAUUGGGUUGGGUCUAAUCAACUAGCAAGCAUGGAAUUUAAUCAAAUUGAACAUGCUUAAGUAAUUAGUCCGUAAAUCAUUAAUUUAGAUGGACAGGUGGAGUUGAGGGAUAAAUCAAGUAAGCUGAUUCAAGUAAAAUUAGUAGACUUAGAAGGAUUUUUUUCUUAAUUGAGCUCAAAAUUGGUCAAUUAAAGGUGGAUUUGGUCAGACGGUAUAUCAAUCAGGUUGAAAAUGAAAUGAAAUGGAAGAAAUUAGAUUGAAAUGAAGGAAUUUAGGGUUGAAAAUUUGGAGAAAUCAAUUAAUUGAUACAAUUGGGUUCAAUUAUGCUCAAAUGAAUGUAUAAUUUAUCCACUGAAGUUGGGAUGAGGUGGAUUCUAACUAUUUUAAAUUAAAUUGAAAUAGAAAAGGUGUAAUAAGAUAAAGGUCUGACAAAACCAAGUAGCCUCGUUUAGAUGCUUGAUCACUUAUUGGUUUUAGGCCCAAAGCUUUAUAAAGGAUGCUUUAGGGUGUCUACAACUACUAUUGUUUCUAUUAUUAUUAUGUUAAUGAUCUACAUGAUUGUGCAUUUUGGAAGUAAUGAGAGAUGGAUAUGUUCCUAGGUUUUUUUCGCUAGAUUCAAAUUUUCCUAAGAGUCUAGUAGCUACUAAAAUGUAAUAUGAAUGUAGGAUAAACAAGCGUUGAGAGAGACACAAAGUUAGGCCGAACUCAAAACUUUAACUAUGUUGUUAUUUGACAAAUAUUUUUUUUUUGAAGGAAAGUUCAAUAUCUUACGUAUGGAUUUGAUGGUACUUAUUGCAAAAGUGCAAGUUUGAUAUAAGUAGUAUGGUCUUACUAUCAUGGUUUCACAUAAACUAAUCUCCAUCGAUUUUAGGUUAACCAUUUUGAUCAUCAAUUUCUUCUUUCACAUAUUAAAGUAUUUUCAAGGUGUAUGAUUGUGUGAGAUAAAUACCAAAAAUUUUCUUCCUAUAGAAACGGAUAUCUUAUACCUUGAAAACAUUUUUUAUUUAAGAAAAUAACAAAGGUAUUAAUCAUAUUCAGUAAAUUACACAACUAUCACAACAAAUGAUCUCUAAAUCGAUCUUUCUCUAUUGCUAGCUACCAAAAUUUACUAACCUAACAAACUCAUAUGGCAUGACAAAUUAAUAGUGACAAAAUAUAUUCACCUAUAUCUGCAAGCCUUUAUGCUUAAGUUAUUUUUAUGCUACUCACUAGCUAUAUGUGAGUAUAUGUGUGUAUGUGUGUAUAUUUAGUUUCUGUUAACAUGUGUAUCAUAGAAUAUAAAUCCAUUGAAAUUAUAGUGAUAAAUGAAUCCCUAGGUAUCCAUAGUUUUGAAAUAGUGGGCCCCUAAUCUUGAAGUAGUGGGCGCCCCUAAUCUGGAAGUAGUGGGCACCCCUAAUCUUGAAGUAGUGGGCGCCGCUUGUCUUGAGAUAUAUAUAGUGCGCCCAUUGUCUUGAAAUAAUGAGGCACUGUUGGUUUUGAAAAAGCGAGAAACUUUAUAUCAACAUGUGUAUCUAGAAAUACAAACCCAUUGAAAUUAUAUUGAUGCACGAAAUUCUAACGGUCAUAAAAUAAUGGGCGCCUCUAGUUUUGAUAUAGUCAAUGCUGCUUGUCUAGAAAUAGUGGGUGCUCAUUGUCUUGAAAAAGUGAAGAUGCUUAUACAAGCAUAUAAGGCAUAUGGCAUAGUACUUUAAACUUUGUAAGUUAUAAGUUGGUGUUAUAAGAUGGUAUUAUUGUUAAGCUUAUGAUAUUAGCUUAAUGGACAAUAUCUAAUGAAAAUAGGUAUGAUUAUCUUCUAUUAUACUUUCCUUCAUUUAUACUUCAUGAUGACUUAAGUCAUGUUCUUCUUUGAUGCUUUCCUUUUGGUGUCUUAGUUGCAAUUAAAGUAGAAGGUUACUGCAAGAGGACUAUACUGCUUGAUGGAUCCUCUAAAGAUCUAUGAAAUAAGUAAUAUUCAAUAUAAAAUCCUUUGAUAUCUAUGUCUUUAAGCUCUAGGACUUAAUAUAGCCCCUUCGUAUAAUCUUGCUUUCUCAUAUAAUCAUUUCAUCUAACGAUAAUGAUCUAAUUUCUAUGUAAGAAUGGAAUUGGUUUCCCUCAUACUAUUCAAUUUGGUAAUCCACUCAAACAAGCUCAAGAUGUAGUAGAAAAGAGAGGAUGUCAAGAAUGCAUCACUCAUAUUACGGCAGUGUUGAAAAUUUUUAGGCAAACCCUCUCUUGAAUAUCUCAUCAUUCUCCCAAUAUGGGAAAAGUUGCCAUUCUUGUAGGAUAAUAUUUCUGGUAAAAGGAAAGUCAGGCUAGUCAAUUAGGGAUUGGGCAAUGGUAGCAAAAAAGAAAUGAUCAACUAGGGAUUACAUGAUGCUUAUGGAGGAUGUCCAAUAUUGUUACUUCUUUCCUUUUAGUUUCUCUUAGUGAUCUACAUGCUAAUUUAAAUUGCACUACAUGUAUUAGUUAGUAUUUUCAAUUAGAUGGUUAAUAGAUAGUAUUUGUUUUCAUUUCUCCUAUUCUCUCCUCAUCACUUACUUCCUAUUUUUUGCAUUAUUUUAUUUCUUCUUUUCUUUAUGGCAUAAUACUAGUUUCUUGUUCCAAUAACAUCUGACCUCUACUGAUUUUAAUAGAAAUUAAAAGGUAUAAUCUAUGAUUGGUAAUUUGAUAUAUGCACUAUACUUUUUGAAAUCACGAUGUUAUUCAUGAUAGUGUAGACCUAAGCCUACAUUGAUCAAGUCUAUACUUUUUCUUUAGAAAAAAAAAAUACCGUUGGUUGAAUAUGGAUCUCAUAUUGACCUACCAUUAAGCUCAUUAUAGAUUAAUCAAAGCAAAAAACGAGAAGCAUGCAAUGCUUGUACUAAUUAUGUGAUCCUUAGCUCAUGAUAAAGAGUUGCACUUGAAGUCCUAGAAAGAAGAUAAAAAAGAAAAGAAUAAUUGAGACUCAUAAAAGGGAAAAUUCUACAAUUAUUGACAAUAUAAAAUCAAUCAAGGUGGAAUCCUACCCCCAAGAGUUUUCAUUGAUUUGACCCUCUAGGCACUCAAAUAAGCCAAGUAUGGACUCACGAAAAUAAUUUUCCAAUUUUAAGUACGAUAACUCAUCUAAUGCAAGAGGGAUGCAACAAUUAGGCUAUAAUUUACUACGAUUUAAUGCAUUUUUAGAGCAUAAUAUUUUGAUUUGCCACACUCUUACAAUGUUUUUUUUGGGUUUAGAUGAUUUUUCAAUUUACCAUCAUCAAUGAUUGAAUAAUAAUGAUGGAACACCACACUAAAUUAGUAUGAGAAAUAUGAUCGAAGUGUUAAAAGAAGCAAAUCUAAAUCUUUUUAUUCCGAUAAUGUCACAAGGAAAAAUAACACAGACUACCAUUGCAAGGUUGAUUUAUUGGAUAUGUGAUUAUAAUUAUAUCAUUUUUUUUUUAGUCAGGAGCAAAAGGAGUUUAAGAAUAUUCGAGAUGAGGGAACAUUAAUGAAAAAUGAGUACAUUAUCAAUCCUUGUUCAUUGAUGAAUAUCUAUAGAUCAUGCACAUGGCAACACAAUCAAAUGGGAAUGGAAGGCAAUCGGCAAUAUGGGCUCAGGUAAGAUUUUCUAAAGAGGUGUCAAAUUAAAGUCAAUAAUUUUUUAUGAUAUUAAACUUAUCAUUUUAAUUUUAAUGUAUGCUAACCUUGACAACAGCUAUUAGCAUAAUUGGUCGGCACCUCACCCCUAGAGGUUCUAGUAUUUAUUUCAUCCAAAAUAUUACCCUUUAGAGAAUUUAAUUAGUUUUUAGUGUGGCAUGAGAGAACUCAUAAGACCAUCUUAGCAACUAUACAAGUCCAAGUUUAAGACUUUCUACAUGUGGUAAACUGAUAAAAAAGAGCAAGCUCUUCUCUCUACCCUAAAAUCAGCAAAAUUCUAAAAAAAAAAGGAAAAACAGAAGGAACCCAUGUCAUCAAUUGUUUUACUAUGCCAUUAAAUGUAAUAAUCCCAACUAAUCUUUAUUUUUAAUAAAGCAUGAAUUAUUAAGAAAAAAUUUGUUGCUUGAUCUAGUACAAGUUUAAACACAUGCAAUGUAUGAUGUAUAUAAUAAAAAAAUUUAUUAACCAUACAAAUUUGUAUUUAAAAAUAAUAAAUCAAAUUAAAGAUAUAAUUUUAUCAAAAAAUUGUUAAUGAAAAUAAAGUUAACUUUAAAAUAAAGUAACUUCGAUGUUUUAUCUGCCCAUAAAAGCAUGUUGAGGUUGUGUAUGUGAUAUUUUCUGCAAUAAAAAAGAUAGUUUGGUUUAAGUAGAAAGAAAACUUGAAAUAAAUUAAAAUUAUAAAAAUAAAUGGUUUUAGAAUUAAAUGUUUAAUGAAAUAUGAAAUCAUGCUUUUAGAUAUCUAAUCUUUAUAAAUAAAAAUUUUAUCUAUAUUUAGAUAACCAAGUGAUAUGAAUGAAAAAAUUAAUAACAGUUUGAAUCAUUAGAGAAAAAAAAAAAUUAUGUCUAAUAUCGAAAGGAGCUAUUGGAUUUGAUAUCAGUAUGGACAUCCAUAUCCUUGAUAUUACUUUAUCGUGAUAUAGAGAAAUGGACAAUUACAGAAAUAAAAAAUUUUAGCCAUAUGGCUCCAAGGGACAUGAAUGAUGCAGGGGAAAACAUGAGAUAAAGUAGUACAUGCUGGUGAAUCCUUAAUUAUCUGCUACAUAAGACUCAAGAAUCACACGAUAUAACAUCUCUCUUUUCCUUUGCCCUUUGAUUUGUUAAUAGCAUCCACUAGACUAUAACUAUUGGCGUCCCAUAGAGUAGAAUUAGAUAUACUAUAAACAAGAUCAGGUAACAAGUAUCCCUUACCUAAGAAUGGAAACAUUGAAUUUUGGACAUCUUUGUAUGUCAUACUAUUAGACUUAAAAGGAUUAUACUACAAAUUCAUAAACAAUGCUUCUUUAUAUUUCUUAAAAUAGAAUGAUAAUUAUCUUUGAUUAGAUAGAUCCGUAUAUGCCAUGUGAUUGGAUGUACAAGAGAUAUAUUAUAAUAUAUUUAAUAGUAUUCCUUGGCCUUUCUUAAAUAGAAUAAUAAUUUUCCUUACCUAUAUAUUAGUUGCCUAAAUUAAAAAGGAAAACUUUAAAUUAGACUCUUUGAAGAAGAGGCAAGCCAACCCAUCCAAACAUAAACAUGUUUAGCUUGGUAAGACUAGUGAGUUCUAUUGGCUCAAGUAAAUUUUAUGCUUUAGAAAUACCUAUUAAAUAUGGAUGUGUUGAUUAGAGACCAUUGAGGUAUAGAUAAAUAUGGUUAGAUUGGUGGACAGACGUGCAAUGAAAAAUCUAAUUUGGCUCAAAGAGGAUAUAUUUUUGGAAAACAAAAUAUUUACUUGAAAUAUUCUUUGGAUUUUCUACAUCUACAAUAAUUUCUAUAUCAUGCCUUACGUUAGUAUUUGACCUCAUAAGAUCUUAUUAAUCCAAUUUUGAGCCUAGUAUUUAAACUUAUGUCCAAUCCAUCACUCGGUAGAUUUAGAUCAUGUUCACUCUAUGUUUAAGCUUCAUCUAGGCCACGACCAAGUUAGAUACAUUUUAACUAAUUGUUGUUGCAUCAAAUUGGGUCUAUUUGGAUCAAAUUGGGUUGGAUUUAAUUAGGUGAAAUCCAUACCUAACCCAUUUUGACGUCACAUCUUAAUUUAGACUCAUGUCUAAUUCAUAGGUCAUGCUUUAUAGGUAGGUCUAAUAUAAGUCAGGUUGAAGUCAAAUUGCAACUUUUUUUAUUUUAUUUUCCAUAUUUUUAUUUUUUAAAAUAUAUGUACAACUAUGAUGAUUUGAUUGUCCUUUUAAUUGAUAUUUUAUUCUAUCAAACUUAUUGAUUAUUUUUAUUUUUUUAUCUAUCUCAAGUUAUAUCACAAUACUAGAUUUUUCUGAAAAUAUGAUAUUGGGGAAAGUACAAGAGUAACACUAUACCAAUUUAAAUAUUAGGUGUUGGUUGGGUUAGGUUGAUAUAUUUCAUUUUUAUACUUGAAUGUGUUCCAUGAUGGUGAUGAUAUGUCCAAGUUAGCCACCCUUGUAUUAGAUUCAAACCAAAGUUUGAAAUGUUCUGUGGUUUAUCUUACGGGCAUACUUAUAGAUCUAAAUAUUAGAUUGGUCUUGGUGGAGUUCUAGUAAAGUCUGGGUUUAUGGCUCUGAGUGGCAACCGUUGCGUGGCUAGCUUUCUUGCUAUUUUAAUUAAGCACCAUAGCAAAAAUUAUUUAAAUCUAACACAAAAAGGUGGUCCUUUUGGUCAUCUAAUAUUUUGUGCAAGUAUUUUCUUGGAUGAACAUAUAUAAUUAAAGCCACUGGAGCAAGGUCUUAUACAAGAUGAUCAUGGUAUUCUUUUGUCUUUAAUAAUAUUUUUCCUCUUGGAGAAUGUCAAAGAGACAACACUCUUCAACAAAGCAUGAAUACAUCCAAAUCUUGCAUCACUCCUUCAAAUGACUAAUAAGAUUCUUUGACAAUUGGAUCAAAAAAAUUUAUAUGAGUUUGAAUCCAAUUACUAUUUACACUUUGUCGAGGGCUCUAUUUAACAUUUAAGGAUCGCAACCCUAUAGAGCGUCUGUUGUCAAAGAUGGUAUUCAUUAUGGUAAUUUGUCAAAGAAAAUAUGAAACAAAUUAAUCAUAUACUAAUAAAAAAUUCUUUGCUUGCAAGUUCACAGUAUGUUGUUGUUAAGAACACUCUCAAAGGAAUUAUAAUAUAUAUAGCUAUUAGCAUAUACUUGAAAAUUUUUAACAUAUUUUAAUAGCACACCUAACAUUGCAAUUUGUGCAAUAAUUAUGACUCUAUCUUUUUUUGCUGCAUAUCCAUGAAGAAUGUAAAAUUGUUCAACAUCUAUAUUUAGUUUCUUUCUCAAUUUUUUUAUUAUAUUUUUGUGCUUUUCUUAAAAAAAAAUCUUGGUAUAUUAGAUUAACUCAAAAAAAUCAUAAAUUUGCAGAAUCCAAGCGGUAUGGAAACAUGGAUUCCUCCCUUGCAUCACAUGAUAUGAUAAGAACUUUGAUGAGUCCAACAUGAUAUUGGAGUUUAUUAUAAGCGCGAGAACAUGGUGGAUUCAGAAAAUUAACCACACAAAUUACAUAUUGAUGGAGUGGGAAUAAAUAGUGGCAUUGUUAUUUAUAACUUGCUAUGUCUUCAUAUUUUGUACCUAGGUGCUCCUACUCACACAAGCAUUCACCAGAAAAAGAGGAGCAUGGAGAGCAUUGUGGUUUUCUACAAUUUUGUCUCGUACUGACAAAUAUCAUAUAAAUGUCCCAUCAGAAUUGGAUCCUAUUAUAGAGAAUGGCAUAAUUGUUGCAGAUUUCACAAGCAUGAAACCCCUUUUAUUAUCAGCAUUUUGUAUCACUUUUCUUGGAAUGAAUCUAUAGAGUUUAAUCAUUUUCAUUACAAAAUUUUUGUGAGCAAAUUGGGGGUUUACGCUCUAUCUCCUUUUCUACUGCAGAGUCUAAUUAUUCUUUAUACAUAAACCUUGAAGGUGAAAACCAAAAUCUCAAAAAAAAAAAGAAGGGGCCUAAAUGAGGCUACAAGUAGUAUAAUCAAAUGAAGACAGUUUACUUUAUUUAACAAAGACGCUACAACAAGCUUUGCUAACAACUCUAGCAAUGCCCAAAGACAUGGGAUCAUUCAUAAUGACCAGUCAAUGGAUUGGGUCAUGAUCUCACCUAAUCUAAAACAUGGCCCAACCCGAUUUGACUUGAUAGCUCGAUCUAAUCAUAUUCCCUAAAAGAGAAAAAGAUGCCAAGGCUCGCUAAUUUCAUUUCUACUCUCCACAUCAUCCCCACUCCUUCUGCCUCCUCCAUUCACCUUUAUGCACUUGACUGUCUUAGCCACUACCGCCUCCAUGAUAAUAGAUCUUUUCAACCUACGAUCCUCCAUCGUGCCCUCACUAUCCUCCAUUCCGUCUCCACCACGCUCCAUCAUUCUCCCCUUGGCCACCCUCUCCCCCACCUCUUCUCACUUCGCCACCACCUUAGCCAUCUACUUAGACCUUUAGGCAAAUUCCCUAGUCGCAUUGAAGAAAGGAGAAGAGAGUUGGUCGCAUCGAGAUGAGGUUUCGGUGGUCAAGUAGUAAAUCUUGAUUCAUGUGAUGAGCUAGGUUGGAUCGGGUCAAACCUGAACCAUUGUAGGGUACAGAGAAGAUGAUUGCUAGCAUAAAGGACACAUGUCGACAGAGAAAAAAAGACAACUAUAACACGUGGAAGCUAUAGUGGAAUGAGGGAGAAUGGUAGAGAUUGAUAUUAUAGUUGUUUAUAUACAUAUCUAUCCCGUCUUGACCAUCCAUCAGGGGUUGAUAUUUAUCUCUUGCAACAAAUUUGCUCGAAUCCACUCUUGGAUCAUCCACUGCUUGCUUUAAUAUCUGUGCAGAUGGAUGAAUGAUGGAGUUCUGAGUGCUUUGAGAUCUGUACAAUGGGUGAUCCAAUGGUUAAUGGCGCAAAGGAAGGUGAAUCCUUCUUAGGUGCAAAAGACACAACAUGGACCUAUGGUGGAGUUACCCAAUAAUUGAUGUAGGGCUUAGAGUUUCAAAUCUACCGGCAAAUAAUUCGAACCAAAAUGGUUCAUUAGUUUUGGGUAGUUUUGAACCAGUCUAAAAAUGGUUCAGAAAUAGGGAUUUGGGUUUAUUGAGUGAUCCAAUGUAAAGGGAUUUCUCCUAUUUGCCAAACUCUUCUUAUUCCCCUUUCUCCACAUGGACAGUGGACGGGAGUUCAUCCCCGACCGGCGGCUGGCAGAUGGCCGAGCUACCCCUCUAAGCCAUCUCCCUCCCUCUCUUUCUCUCACACUUAUUCCACAACCUCUCUAUCUUCCCCUUGCCUCUGCCCUUGAUGGCUGUGGGAACAGGCUCUCAUAAAGUGACAUGGUUACUCCAUUGAUCAUAGAUUUUUAUUGUCUAUUAAUCUAUAGUGGUCAUAAAAUUAAUUUGCUUGUGAUUGAUAAAAUUUAUGUAGCCUCCCUUUCUAUUUUACAGAUUUUACCUGGUGAGUGAAGGAAGUUGAGAACUUUAGAUGACAACGAGGAUGCCAGGAUACUUUGGUGUUAUUAUUCAUUGAGAACUUAAGUAUGGUCAUACUAUGAUAUUACAUUAUUUGUGAUGUUAUAUGUCACAUCCCAUAAUUCAAAAGCAUCAUUAGACUCUAUGUGCAUUAUUUUGAUCCUACAAAUAGGGUUGGACAAAAUUCAAGGGCGACAUCUAUCAUGACCCUUGAAUGAGAUGAUUUUUUUUUUCAAAUUUGUAGACUUUUCGAGCUUUACGACAAGUGCCUCGUGUUAAAGGGUGCUGUGCGCCAAGAGAUUAGGCCCAAAUUCCAUAUUUGGGCUUUGAAACGGAUCGGUUAUAUUGAUUUUUUUUUAGUAAAGAUUUUAACCAAGCAUAUCUCUCAAUUCGAGAAGAAUUAGGUGGAGUGAUAGAAAGAAAAGUCAAUAUAAAAAUCGAGAUCUAUCUUCUGUAAAAUUUUAGCUUUUUUAUAUGUAUUUCUACUGGUCAUUUUAUUUUGGGAAAGCUAGUCCUUUUAGAACUUAAAGAGAAUCUAAUCUGAAUUAAACAAGAUAGACCUCACUAGCAUAAAUAGAGGCUAUGUAACUUAGUUUAUGCCAAUCAAUAAAAGAAAAGGGGAUCUAAAUCCUAUUUUCAUCAAAUUUUUCACUUUUAAAAACUUUUUUGAAAAAUUCAAAUUGAGUGGAUUGAAAAAAUUCUUCCUUCUUUCAGAUUAGAUCAUCCCCAACCUAGAAGUACGUGUUUAGGGACAUGGCAACCAAUCGCACAUAUGCAGGGUUGGAUUCCAAACUAACAAGCAAUCUAAUAAAACAAUGCAUGAUUUUACUUUCCAAAACACACUAAAUUUUCCAAUCUAAUGUGUAGGGUUGUUUUAAGAUUUUGGACAUGCACAAAUUCUUAAAACAACCAAAGUUAAACAUCCAGAUGAAAAUUGUAUGCAAUAUAGUCUAGAUAACUACUUCACAAAAAAUCUAAAACAGUCAUGUCAUAGACUUUAUCCCAAAAAAAGAUAUAGGUUAAGGGAAUGUUUGGCAAUAACCCAUCAUUGACAAAGAAAAGGUCAUAGGAGACAGAGAGGAGCGAGCUAGAGGGACUAAACGGAGCAUUGCUGGAAGAAAAAAAAGGACCUCUUAAGGUCUUUUUUCUAAUCCCCCUAAAGUCGGGCCACAUGAUCUCUUGCUCCCAUCUCAAUUUGUUCCUCCACCUCCUCCUUCCUCUCUUCCUGUUUCGCCAAAUCCAAGUGUUGCCAAACAUGCCCUAGCUAUCAUAAUGUUUAAGUUGACAAUAACAAAGUAGGGCCUACAAGAUUCUAUUUUUAUAAAUAUACAAGUAGCUACUUAUGUGUAACAACAACAGGAACAUACCAUAACCAUAACACAUACUAAGUUCUAGAGGUUACAUAAAUGCAGGAAAGAAGAAACAUUCAUGUAGGCCAGCCAUAUAGAUAUUAUAGACCAAGAAAGAUCUCUGGUUGACUACUUGCUUAGCUAAGAAUCUUGAGACGCUUGACUGACCUGAUAAAAUCCCUGCAACAAUCACCAGAAACAACACGGAAAACAAGUAAGAAACCCCAAAAGCAUGACCUAAAUAGAUAAUAGAAUCUGAAUGAGCUGCGAGCAGGAAUAUGUGGGGUUGGGUGCUCAAGUGCAUGUACGUUGGGACCAAUUGAGGUGCACCAUAAAGGUGCACGAAUUGGGAAUACCAAAGAAGGCAAUCCAUCCAGCUGGGUUUCACUCACACCCAAUUGCAGAUAUCGGACCAUGGCUCCCUCGGUCAAUUGCAUGUAUUAAUGAGAAAUUAUUAGUUGGACCAUGGCUCCCUCGGUCAAUUACAGCACUAGUCCAAUUUGAAAGCAACACGUGCAAUAGUAAUCCCUUUUUUCUUUUUUUAUAUGUAAUAGCAGCAUAUGGAUGUAUUUAUAUUAGUGAUUCAGGGUGGAUCUGGUCCGAUUAAUAAUUUUUCUAAAUUGGGAACUUAUUAGGGGGCACUUUGCAAACAGCUUUUCCAUGUAUGCUGUAGUUUUGGUGAGGAAUGAUCAAAAUCUAUGAAGUGGUUUCAACAUCAGGGGUGGCAAAAGUUGUGAUUUAAAACAUGGAGAUUAUGAACUCACUCCCAAGGCAUGUCUCCAACCAACAGCCAAUCUCCCUCUCCAUCCUCAUACGUGACCAUGAAGCGACGACGAUGAUGAUGAGGAUGAUGAGCAAACCCUGCAAAACCUCCAAUUCCCAACUCUGAACUCCAUGUAUUAUUUGAGAAUGUGCAUGCUAUUAUUAAAAUAAGAAUUUAAGCAAAGAAACUAUGAUGAUGUGAUACCAUGUUGCAUGUUGGGGAACAUCUGGUUGAGCGUGUGGAAGAGUUCCUCGUAAGAGUCAUGCAGAGAGAGGUCCACCUUCCUCCCAAUUGCCACCCCCUCCAUCUUCACCUUCACACACUUGGCUCUUCUACCACCGCCACCGUCGUCGCUGUUGCUCCCACAGUGCUCGCUCCACCUCUCCUCUGCUCCACCGCCUGCGCUCCUCCUCCUCGGGUGUUUGACCGGCGGCCACCCCACCAAUGCUCUGUUUCCACUAAUGCUUUCGCAUGAGAUUAUCAAACCAUCAGAACAAAAACAAUGCACCAUUAACAAGCAACAGUCUGCUCUAAAGUCGAACGCAGUUAAUUACCUGUUAAGCUCGGGGGAAUUCUUAAGCUGGGGGCUGUCAUUCUCAUCAUCUCCAUCUCCACCAUUUUUAUGGACAAAGAGAGGCAGAGUAGCCUUAGGGAUCACUUCUUCAAAUGCCUCCUCGAAACCUCUCUUCCUGUAUGAAUUGGUCGUGCUGCCAUCAUUAAGAUCCAACCCCUUCAUCAAAUGGUUGUUGGGAAGGGCGAGGCCGAGCUCCAACUCCAUCUCUUUCUGUACUGCUUCCUUCUUUUAUUUUACUUUCCAAAGAUGAAAUGUAACAAGUAUCAGUGGGAGAGUAUAUUGGAGAAAGGGGAAGAACUUGAUUGGAUUUGUGUUCAUAAAUAGCAGCUGUGGCAUUAAAGAAAGGAAAGAAGGAAGAGAGGUGGGAGGUGGAACAGGGAGGGGGACAAGGUGUAGGGGUUUAAGGGGACCCAAGCGCGCGUAAGCUGUCUGGGCGCUGUCAUCGGCUAAGCUUGCAUUGAGCGCUACCGACACGGUCCUUUUCCUUUGAUGCAGUCCCGUCCUUUCUUUAUUCGGCGGACAGGGAGAGAGGCAUUUAGUAAUCAAACGCAUGACUUGUGGACGUUCUCCAGCUAUCUCCCUACACGAGCCGGCCAGCCUUGGAGGCAGCAACAAGUCAGCCAACCCAACCACCUUCCAUAACUAGAUACGUAAAUGACCCGGACUCUAAACAAUUCGUAUGCUUUGAACUAAUUACCUUAUUUUUUAUUUUAGUUGAGCUAUAAGUCUGGCUCUUGAUCGGUUCAUUUGCUAAUGGGUGAGCCUAAAAUUGAGCCGACUCUGAGUCAAGGACAAGUUUUUUUUUUUUUUUUUUACCACGAUGAUGGCUAAAGUUGCAAAUGGGUCAGAUUGACCUAUGCCUAAAAUUUAUUUUUUAUUUUAGUUGAGUUUAGUUGAGCUAUAAGUCUGGCUCUAGAUCAGUUAAUUUGCAGAGCCUAAAAUUAAGUCGAUUCUAGGUCAAGGAUAAGUUUUUUUUUUUUGGGCCACGAUAAUGGCUAAAGUGGCAAAUGAGUCAAGUUGACCUAUGACCUAAUCUGAACUGAUCCACUUAGAUCUGAUCCGAUAUAUUUUGGACGAUCUAUGGAGUCGGAUUGAGUCCUAAAAUUGGACUUGUUCUAUUUUUCGAGUCGGAUCUAGAUUUAUUGAAUUCAGACUCGACCCGACUCGACCCAAUCUAUUUGAAAUUUGGAUAAUUUCAGGUUUUCAAUCCUACGACCCGAUCCGAUCCGAAUCUGUAAAAUUAUUUAGUCUCGCGGGCUGCAGCUCGCGAAGGUGUAAAAAUAAGUUCUGAAGCCAUGAAUGGGUUGAUCCGAACCGGAUCCAACUCGGACUCGAACCGAAUCCGAAUUUUUUGGAUUGUAUCUGGGUUAUACAUAGAUCCAAUUAGGCCAAUUUCCUAUUCGGGAAAGCAGACUAAGCAAACUCUUCAAAUUUAUGACCAACCUUUCCUUCAGUGAUCUUACAACGAACAGGAGGGAUCUUUUACUGGUGCUCUGCUUGAAAAUACGAUAAUUGAGUUUUUGAGACUCCGUUUUGUUAACAACAGGUACUCUUUCUGCCUUUCCGGGUAAGGAUCAUCUGUGCUAUGACUGACCCGAUACGACCUGAAUGACCCGUUGGAUCAAAUUUGUAGCGGUGGAUCUAACCUAACCCAACCCAAUAGAACCUAAUUUCCUAUCGGAUCGAGUUUGGGUUCAAAAGUAAAACCCGAAUAAGAAAUCAGGUUGGGUCAUCCGACCCGACCUAUUGGCAUCCUACUGAUCAUAUAACUAUUAAAUUGGUGCUAGAUGCUGCGGCUAUCUCAAAUGGCUCCAAUACGGGUGUGGUUUUCUAUGCCCUUGGAACUGGGUUGGAACCUUGAGGGAGAGGCGGGGGGAGGAGGAGGNNNNNNNNNNNNNNNNNNNNNNNNNNNNAACCUGUCUCCUCGACAGGCGGGAUCCCUCGCGUUUCUUGUCCCGUGAGCGUUUUCCUAGCGCUCGCACACGCUCUACGUCACCUGGCUGGGUUCCGAGCCCUUGGCCUGUGCUCGCUUGUUUUCUUAUUCUAAACUUCUUCAAAUGUGUCCCCCAGCUAGGGAUCAACCCUAACCUCAAAACGUGAGUGCUCCUUACCUAAUUGGUACGAGGGUACGUGGUAUUUUUCUAAGCCUCCACCGUGAUGCACUGUAUUGUGGACUGAAACAGCGUUUCCAAUGCUGUUCCUCUUUUUUUUUUGUAUAGGCAUGGAGACAGAAGACACCGGCAUUGGCUUCCAUUCAAUGGCUCCGACAAGGGCGGGUCCUACAAAGAACCCUUGGCCUUAGCUGACGAGACCGUUCCCUGAGGAUCUGAGCCUAUUAGUGGAUGAUACCAGGAUCAGCUGCAUCACCCAGCUCACCACACACUCUUAUUCUCGAAUCCUCUACCCACACAAUAUUGUGGUAGGACCCACCACACUCAUGCAUGCAUGGACUGCCCUAGCCAAAAUAUUUAUAUUGGCACUGAAAUAACAAAUAAAACUCGCAUAUUAACUAUAUACCAUUUUAUAAAACUAGAUCAAUAACAAUGCUAUAAUUUUUUGGCUAGAAGGCAAUACAGUCAGCAGCUAUGUUUGUCUCUCGAUACACAUUAACAAUCUGAAUAGAAUGACAGACGGAUAUCAAUCUCUAGAUAUCUCUAAAUAAUGGAUGACCAUCGCUGUGCCGCUCAGCCUGACGAGUCCACUCAAUCACUGUAAAAGAAUUUUUUUUUAGAAUGAUACGAUGAGCUCGGAGAAG